AUGCUUUGGCAGCACAUAUAUUAAAAUGAAGAAGAUUGGCCUCAUGGCCCCUGUGCAAGGAUGACAUGCAAAUUCAUGAAGCAUUCUAUAUUUUU
ensembl:snRNA U6 U6 spliceosomal RNA